CCUACGGGGGGCAGCAGUGGGGAAUAUUGGACAAUGGGGGAACCCUGAUCCAGCCAUGCCGCGUGUGUGAAGAAGGCCCUCGGGUUGUAAAGCACUUUCAGUGAGGAAGAACGCCUGGUGGUUAAUACCCAUCAGGAAAGACAUCACUCACAGAAGAAGCACCGGCUAACUCCGUGCCAGCAGCCGCGGUAAUACGGAGGGUGCGAGCGUUAAUCGGAAUUACUGGGCGUAAAGCGCGCGUAGGUGGCUUGAUAAGCCGGUUGUGAAAGCCCCGGGCUCAACCUGGGAACGGCAUCCGGAACUGUCAAGCUAGAGUGCAGGAGAGGAAGGUAGAAUUCCCGGUGUAGCGGUGAAAUGCGUAGAGAUCGGGAGGAAUACCAGUGGCGAAGGCGGCCUUCUGGACUGACACUGACACUGAGGUGCGAAAGCGUGGGUAGCAAACAGGAUUAGAUACCCUUGUAGUC
rnacentral:rRNA from 1 species